rnacentral:lncRNA from 1 species
AAUAAUCCUUAAUCGUGUUUUAAAGUUACACCGGAUCAAUUAAAUCCAAAACAUGCACUGCUGGUGAACUGUGAUCAAAAUGUCAAUUUCCUACAAUGACAAAAGAAAUUACAUUGUGUACAUUCCAUCUCUAUAGAUGUUGUCUGUUUAACGUCCCCACCUAAAAAGAAAUAAAAAGACUAAGUUUUUGUUAAUAUAAACCCGCGUCACGUGGUGUCUCCUCAAUCUGGCGCGCGCGCUGUACCUAAAAUAAAAUAAAAACUUUCCAAACUAAACAUGAAACUUCUCCGGUAACACAAUAAUAUAGACCCCAUACCGAAACAAACAAACAAACAAACAAACAAACCACCCCCCCCCCCCCCAAUAUAAUCAAUUUCAAAGGGAGAAAGACCCCGUACAAUUGCUUUUUAAAAGCAAUUGAUUUAUAUUUAUUAUUAUUUUUUUUCUUCCGCCAACUUUUUGUUCCUUCGCAAAUUUUUUGUUUCGCAAGAUGUCGCUUAGAUAUAUGGUAUAUGAUAUCGAACAAUUAAUACGCUUUUGAAACUGACACCGCGUAACCAAAAUCUUAUCCAUGUAAGAGUUAUCUCCCUGAACACUGUUUUUCUUGUUAUCGCUUAAUAUUUGCAACCAUAUAAGAAACCGACAAAUUUAAUUUACCAAAUUGCUCGUUAUAUCCUCAGGAUGAUUUGAUUUAUUUUGACCGAAGCUAUCCGGAGACUCCAUAUGAGAGUUAUUUCCCCUUUUAUAUUUGAUGUAAGUGAUAUGCAUUUUUAACAGGAAAACCAUAAGUGUUAGAGACCUAGGGUCUUUUGAUUUGAGGUCCUUGGUCCAAAAAAAUGAAAAUGAGGUCAAGGUCAAAGGUCAAGGUCAUGAUUAAUUUUUUGAUUUUGGCUUGUUAUCUCUUAUUUUCAGAAAUCUUAUAAGAUAUCGACAAAAUAUUUUCACAUAAUUGUUAGUCGCGACAUGUAGUUACACAUAAAUUUUAGUCGAAAGGGUACGUAAACAUUUGUUGCUAGUUUUUCCCCCCUUUUAUAUCUAAUAUCAGUCGUAUGGUAAUAUAACUCAUUAACAAUAUAAAGUAAAGACCUAGAGUCUUUUGAUUUGAUGUCCUUGGUUCAUGACCUUGACAUUGAGCUCAAGGUCAUAUGUUAAUUUAACGUUCUAGAUUUUGACCUUUGCUUUUACCUCAUAUGUAUUCAUGUUAAAGCUAUUAGACUUUUUGCAUAAGGUUGCAAGCAGUAUGACGUUGAAAAAGCUAACCGGAAGUGACCUUUUGUAAACCGGAAGUAACUAAUUUUUUGUAACAAAUUAUUGUUAAAGUAUGUAAAACCUUAUAUUUUUGGAAUCAGCGUACAAUAAGUUGUCAUUUGACGCUGAAAUUGACAUUUAAAACCAAAUUUUAAUAUUUUCAUAUAAAAAAAAUCAUUACUGGUGGAAAGACCAUCAAUGGUUCUCUGAACAAUUGGU